CCUGGCCCUACACCGCCCAUGGGCAGGGGCGGGGGAACCACCGGGACUCAUACCCCAGGGGUGAAGCCAUCACACAUGGCCGGGCACCUCUCGCCCGAACCCGUCAGCUAACCCCGCAGGCGCCGAGAGGAGCA
rnacentral:sRNA from 2 species